rnacentral:rRNA from 1 species
UGGGGAAUAUUGCACAAUGGGCGCAAGCCUGAUGCAGCCAUGCCGCGUGUGUGGAGAAGGCCUUCGGGUUGUAAAGCACUUUCAGCGAGGAGGAAGGGUGGUGUGUUAAUAGCACAUUGCAUUGACGUUACUCGCAGAAGAAGCACCGGCUAACUCCGUGCCAGCAGCCGCGGUAAUACGGAGGGUGCAAGCGUUAAUCGGAAUUACUGGGCGUAAAGCGCACGCAGGCGGUUUGUUAAGUCAGAUGUGAAAUCCCCGCGCUUAACGUGGGAACUGCAUUUGAAACUGGCAAGCUAGAGUCUUGUAGAGGGGGGUAGAAUUCCAGGUGUAGCGGUGAAAUGCGUAGAGAUCUGGAGGAAUACCGGUGGCGAAGGCGGCCCCCUGGACAAAGACUGACGCUCAGGUGCGAAAGCGUGGGGAGCAAACA